UUGGUAGCAACAGGUCAGUGAGACACCUGUGGAGAAGGUCUUUACAGGUGGAUUGGUAGCAACAGGUCAGUGAGACACCUGUGGAGAAGGUCUUUACAGGUAGAUUGGUAGCAAUAGGUCAGUGAGACAACUGUGGAGAAGGUCUUUACAGGUGUAUUGGUAGCAACAGGUCAGUGAGACACCUGUGGAGAAGGUCUUUACAGGUGUAUUGGUAGCAACAGGUCAGUGAGACACCUGUGGAGAAGGUCUUUACAGGUAGAUUGGUAGCAAUAGGUCAGUGAGACCUGUGGAGAAGGUCUUUACAGGUAGAUUGGUAGCAACAGGUCAGUGAGACAACUGUGGAGAAGGUCUUUACAGGUAGAUUGGUAGCAACAGGUCAGUGAGACACCUGUGGAGGUCUUUACAGAUGGAUUGGUAGCAAUAGGUCAGUGAGACCUGUGGAGAAGGUCUUUACAGGUGGAUUGGUAGCAACAGGUCAGUGAGACACCUGUGGAGAAGGUCUUUACAGAUGGAUUGGUAGCAACAGGUCAGUGAGA
rnacentral:lncRNA from 1 species